AAGAUUUAUCGGUAACGGAUAGGGAUGCGUGACAUUAGAUAGUAGGCGGGUAACGGCCCACCUAGUCUACGAUGUCUAGGGGUUCUGAGAGGAAGGUCCCCCACACUGGAACUGAGACACGGUCCAGACUCCUACGGGAGGCAGCAGUGAGGAAUAUUGGUCAAUGGUCGGAAGACUGAACCAGCCAAGUAGCGUGAAGGAUGAAGGUUCUAUGGAUUGUAAACUUCUUUUAUACGGGAAUAAAGCCCACUACGUGUAGUGGUUUGUAUGUACCGUAUGAAUAAGCAUCGGCUAACUCCGUG
rnacentral:rRNA from 1 species